UCCGUAGGGUGAACCUGCGGUAGUACGUUAGGGGAAGGAGUUACUCCCAAACCCCUGUGAACAUACCAAUUGUUGCCUCGGGCGGAUCAGCCCGCUCCCGGUAAAACGGGACGGCCCGCCAGAGGACCCCCAAACUCUGUUUCUAUAUGUAACUUCUGAGUAAAACCAUAAAUAAAUCAAAACUUUCAACAACGGAUCUCUUGGUUCUGGCAUCGAUGAAGAACGCAGCAAAAUGCGAUAAGUAAUGUGAAUUGCAGAAUUCAGUGAAUCAUCGAAUCUUUGAACGCACAUUGCGCCCGCCAGUAUUCUGGCGGGCAUGCCUGUUCGAGCGUCAUUUCAACCCUCAAGCCCAGCUUGGUGUUGGGACUCGCGAGUCAAAUCGCGUUCCCCAAAUCGAUUGGCGGUCACGUCGAGCUUCCAUAGCGUAGUAGUAAAACCCUCGUUACUGGUAAUCGUCGCGGCCACGCCGUUAAACCCCAACUUCUGAAUGUUGACCUCGGAUCAGGUAGGAAUACCCGCUGAACUUAAGCAUAUCAAUAAGCGGAGGA
rnacentral:rRNA from 1 species